rnacentral:lncRNA from 1 species
GUAGAAACAUCUAUAAAUAGGAUCAUGAACCAAUCAUGAAAAGGAAAGCGUACCUGGAUCCAUGAGUAAUCUGAUGAACGAUCAAGUCCUUCUUCGUAUCUCCCUCUUGGCCUCCGUUAAUGACACCCACGAUGGCUGGUUCUAUAUCGAUCAAUAGGCAGAGGGUGAGACCCAUAAGCCUUAUCCUUCCAUCAAGGAUUAAGGGAGUUUCCACUUCUCUAGGAGUCAGUUACGGGAUUCAUUCUGUAACUGACCACGUUGUGGUCAUGUGGGUCAAAACCCAACAUUCUCCCACUUGGCCCAUAUGACCAUACUUUAGUUAGAAUGAUAUAAACAUUAAGCGCGCAUCAUUCUAAUCCAUAGUCACUUGGGUCAUCAUAAUACCAUAAUUAAACAACUUACUAAUGCGAGUCAAGGCGGUUCCACAUCAACAUAAUGACAUAGUUCCUUCCAAGUACUACAACACUAGCNN